UGUUCCCUCACUUAUCGUGGGGGUUCUGGUCCAGGACCUCUCAUGAUAAGUGGAAAUCCGCGAAAUGAAAACUGGGACACAUGUGGCCAGCGCACACAAGCUGCAGUAGAAAAGAGAAAUGUUGCAAUAUAUUUUAGGCAUCCUUUGGCUCCUCAGACGGGUACAAAGCAAUCUUUCUGUCUUCAUCAUAUUGUUAGCAGUAAGAACUGAUAUUAAGCAAUAGGAAGAAGCACUCAGUAAG
rnacentral:lncRNA from 11 species